AGUAUAAUUUAGAAAAAAUUAUGGUAAAUUUUACUGACCUCCUCUGAUAUUUUUGAUAAAUAUAGAUACUUUCUUUGUAGAUUUUGAAAUUGAAUUUACAUUCCUUACUUUUGAAACCAUUAUCAAAAAUUCUCCUGAAAUUAUUUUUAUACAAAAAUGACAAGUUUACCCUUAAAUUUAGGGCUUCCAAAAAUUAUUCUCAAUACAACCACUAAAUAAAUAAAUACUUUUUUAAAAAAAUAUGUCACGACCUAACCCAUUUAUACAUGUGAGUCCACCUUAAUUACAGGUGUCAUCUUGACCGGCCAGUGAGUCCGAGUCCCCCACUCACUAAGGCCUACUCCAACUCAGUUUAGGUAUUUUUUUUUAUUCACGAUUUAUUACUUGAAUGUAAACAAAAUAUUCGAAACGUAUUUAAAAUAACCAUAGCUGACAUAUCAUUCAAAAUAAAAGUAUUUUUACCAUUUAAUCAACUACGGUUCUGGCCACAGUCCAUCACAACCGUUAUCAAACUAUAUACACAACUAACGAUCUAUACUGUACAUACAUCAAGACAACAAAAAUUGACUAAGGUCAUCUGCCUUCAGUCUCGCCCCACCUCGGUCUCAGUACUGAAAUGGUUACUACUACGACGUCUUAAGCAGCUAGGCUAUGUGAGUCAAUUAUCUAUACAAACAGUGCCCAUAAAUUAUAAAUCUCAAUUCAUUUCAACAUAAAAUAAUUUAAUUGCCAAUCCUUUUUAUUUCAAUCAUUGCCUCAUCUAGGCCCAUUUAUCUUGCUUCCUAUCAAGAUUCAAAACUAGAUUGAUUGACACUUGGAUACAGUACCCGUGCAACUACACCAGUAAUCAGGUAGCGACCUAACAUAAGUAUGGCAUAUAUCACCCAUAAUCAUCUGCAUGAUCCCACCUUAUACAUCACAUCUCGCUAUAUUCUUUUCUCCACGUCGGGCUCGUUCGACAUGUGUCGUCUAAAUCACAUUUUCACAGGUAAUCAUUUAAACAUUUCAUGGCACAUCUUAACAUAAAACAUAGCAUGCUUUUCAGUACAAUACCAGCACAUUUCAAUAAUUUCAAACAAUAAUCUUCAUCAUAAAUUCAUUUUCAGUAAUAAAAUAAACAACUCACCGAAGUAUGCCCAGAUUUUCCUACACACCGUAGCCUAUCUUUCUUCGAAUUCGGGUUCUACGUUUAAUAGUUAAAUCCUUAGAUUUUAAACUGUCUCAUAUCUCGAUAAUUACUAAAGUCAUAUGUUUUCAAGUUAAGAUAGAGUUUAAAUUUAAGAAUUUCGGAUUAUUUUUCUACAUAAUAUUCUGCAGUUAAUAUUUUUUACAAACAGCCACUCAGUAUAUUUUUGUAUAAAAUUAUUCAAAGUAAUUUGAAUCCCAAAUGUUUUACAUCUAACUAGACAUAAUACCUUAUCUACAGGAAAUAUUUUAUAAUGUAAUAAGCUACGUAACUAUUUUUUUGAAGUUUCGUAAUCUAUUUCAGAAUGUUCCCUGACAGUGCUUUGGGUUGGUAAUUAUUUUGAGCAUUUAAAACAUUUUCGAAUUUUAUGAAAUUAUAAAUAAUAACUAACCCAUAAAUAUCAUACCAUAUUACUUUUUAUAUUUUUAUACACCUGGAAGCUAUUAUAAAUACCAACAUUUUCUGUUCAAACUAUCUUUAUGUUUCAUUUCGUACGUCAUUUUAAAUGUGAUUAUAUACCAUUUAGAGUCUGAAGUGGAUCUAAUUUCUCAUAAAAAUUUGUAGAUAAUUUGAAUAUAUUUUUAAUCGACUCUUUAAUCAAGUAAUUCGAGAUUCUUAUAGAAAAAGUUAGGAUCAACUCGGCGACUGGUUCAUUGAUAAAUUAGGAUUUCCUAUGUAUUCGAAUUUUUAAUUUUAGACAGAUACAUAAAUCUAUUUUUCCGGGGUAACAGAAAUUGAAGUAUAAACCUUAAAUUAUAAGAAAAAACUAUAGAAAUAGAAGAAAUUUGAUUAUACCGUAAUAUUUUUCGUAUCGUGUUUAGUUCUUCUUUUGUUUCUCUUCUUCCUCCUCUUUCUCUAUUCCUUUUCCCUCUCUGUUUCUGCCUGUUUUCUUUCUUUCUCUUGUUGUGUUGUGAAGUCACUAACAGUGGACUUCUUUGGUCUUUAUACAGGGUACACCCACAGGCACACGCAUGGUCCACUUACUAAGACAGCUGUCUGCCAGCACCUCGCACACGCACACACGGGUACAACACACAUACACAGCUGCACACAUGCACUCAUGCAUGGUGACAUGUGUCACCAUGUGUUCUCCAUGUGUCGUGACCGCGUGUCCACAACGUGUCGUAUUAUCGUGUUUCUUUUUACUUGUACGUUUUUUACUGUAAAAAUAUUAAUUGGGUUUAAAAUAAAAUUUAUUCGGUUUACUAAUUUAAUAUUUGUGUUAGCCCUAUGCGGCAAUCCGAUUAUGUUGCAAAUAUUUUUGAUGAUAACAAAUUCUAUCUUAUUGCUCUCAUGUAUUUAAUUCAGUAUGAUAGUUGUAAAAAUAUUAAGACAUAUUCUCAAGGAGCAAAAAUCGAAGAUAUUGGACUGCAAAGUAAGAACACUUCAAAGCACUGAAAGAUCUCAAGAAUGAAGAACUUUCAUUAGGGUAUUUUGUAAAGCUCUUGUAUGGUUAAAUCUUGAGGCUUAAAAUGGACCCUAAUAUCCUUAAUGCAUUUUAAAAAUACAAAAAUGCAGUUAAAAUUAAAGUUCUUAAAAAUGUGCUAGCAAAUUCUUAUCUUUGAAAAGUUAAUUACAAUUUUGAAAAAUGGGUUAGUAAUAUUUUUGAUUUUGAAAUUUGGAUUUCAGUUAAAAAAUUGGCUAGCCAAAAUUAUGACUUUGAAAAUUGAUCUAAAUUUAAAAAAAUAUGUAGCACAACAAUUCUGACUUAAAAAUUUGAUUCCAAGUUUGAAAAAAUUGGUUAGCAACCAAUUUCUGGCACUUUGAAAAAUGUAGUUGCAACUUUUGAAAAAUUUGGGGAUAGCAACAAUUUCUGACUUGAAAAUGUGGUUGAAACUUAAAAAUUAGAAGAAAAAUUUAUGACUUUGAAACAGUAGUUGCAACUUUUGAAAAUUGGAUGCAACAAUUUGCUGACUUUGAAAAAUGUGAUUUCAAUUUGAAAAUGGCUAGCAAAUUUCAAAUGCCCUCCAACGGUUAUAUUCGUGUAAGGCUAUAAAUACAUAUCCUUAGCUCUCAUUUUAGGGAAUCAAGCAAGUGAGACAAACAAGUUUAGAAUGCAAAGCAUAUUUUUUUCAAUUUCCUUUGAGCCUUUCAGUUUGAUUCUCAAGGUUUAGUGAGAGAUAUCAUUGUAAAGCUUUAUUGUAUAUUCAUUUCCAAAAAGGAGAAUUGUCUUGUGAGAGAAAUCUCAAAUCGAUCAAGUAGUGGAUUAUAUAAAAAGGUGGUGUGACCCUGAGGGGUUGGUGUGACCCUGUGAGGUGUGAAGGGGUUUUCCACCUUGUGAGAAGAGUGUCGCUCUUGAUGUGUAAAGGUUGACUCCACCCGUAAGCAGUUUGGAUUAGUGGAUUGAAAAAUCUCAAGUGGUGUGCUUGGGAGUGGACGUAGGUCAGGAAGAUCGAACCACUAUCAAUCGCCGAGUUUGAAUCUCUUAGCGGAAACGUAUUUAAAAUAAACCAGAGUGACAUAUCAUUCAAAAUAUAAAAGUAUUUUACAUUUAUAUACAACUACGGUUCUGGCACAGUCCAGACAACCGUUAUCACAACUAUACAAAACUAACGAUCCUAUACGGUACAUACAUAAGGACAACAAAAAUUGACUAAGGUCAUCUGCCUUCGUCUCGCCCCACCUCGGUCUCAGUACCUGAAAUGGUUAGUACGACUACGUCUUAAGCACUAGGCUAGUGGGAGAAAUCAAGUUAUAUAAUACCAAAACAAGUGCCCAUGAAAUUAUAAAAAUAUCAAUUCAUUUUCAACAUACAAAUAAAUUUAAUUUGCCAAUCCUCUUUCAUUUCAAUAUGCCUCAUCUAGGGCCCAUUUAUCUUGAUUCUAUCAGAAUUCAAAACGUAUAUUAGAUUGCCACUGACGACAACAUUACCCGUUCAACGAACACCAGUAAGCAGGGAGCGACCCUAAAUAAAGUAUGGCAGAAUCACCCAUGAUAUCUGGAUAUGAUCCCACCUUAUGACAUCACAUCCUCGCUAUAUUCUUUAGCCUAGCGGUCGGGGCAUCGUUCGAACUAUGUUAAUUAUGUAUAAAUCACAUUUUCACAGGUAAUCAUUUAAACAUUUCAUGGCACAUAUAAAAUAAAAACAUAGCCAUGCAUUGUUUAUCCGUAACACAAUACCACACAUUCCAAAAUUCAAAACAAUACAUGCUUUCAGCAUAAAAUUCAUUUUCAGUAAGUUGAAAUAUAACAAGACUCACCGAAAGUAUGCCAGAUUUUCCGACACACCGUGAGCUACUUUCUUCGAAUUCGGGUCUACGUUUUAUAGUUAAAUCAUCUAGAUUAACUGUCUCGUAGCUAUAUAAAUAUACGAAAUUUAAUAAUUUUUGAAGUUAAGAUAUUAUUUUAAAUUUAUAUUCGGAUUAUUUUUCUACAUAAUAUUCUGCAGUUAAGUAUUUUUACAAACAGCCACUCAGUAUGAUAAUUUUGUAUAAAUUAUUCAAAAUAAUUUGAAAUCCCAAAUGUUUAUACAUACUAUACUAAGACUAUACCUUUAUCUACAGUAAAUAUUUUUAUAAUUUAAUAAGCUCCGUAACUAUUUUUUUUGAAGUUCGUUAAUCUAUUUCAGAAUGUUCACUGACAGUGCUUGGUUGGUAAUUAUUUUGAACAUUUAAAACAUUUCGUUCGAAUUUUAUGAAUUAAAUAAUAAUAACUAGACCAUAAAUACAUACCAUAUAACUUUUAUUAUUUUUUAUAAUCACCUGGAACUAUUUCUUUAAAAUACUACCCGUUUCUGUGUCAAACUAUCUUUAAUUUCAUUUCGUACGUCAUUUUAAAUGUAAUUAAUACCAUUUAGGUCGAAUUGGAUCGAAUAUUCUUCAUAAAAAUUGUAGAUAAUUUUAAUAUAUGUUCAAACGAAUCUUAAAUCAAGUAAUUCGAGAAUCUUAUAAAAAGUUAGGAUCAAAAUACGGCUACUGGUUUAGUGAUAACUUAGGAUUUCCUAUGUCUUCGAAUUUUAUUUUAGACCUAUACUAAAUACUAUAUUUUCGGGUAAACAGAAUAUUGAAUUAUAAAAAACUUAAAUUAGAAUAAAACUAUAGAAUAGAAAUGAAAUUUGUGAUGUUACUUAUUACCAGUACUAUUUUUUCGGUAUCGUUGUUCGUUCUUCUUUUUGUUUCUCUUCUUUCCUCCUCUUUCUCUAUUCUUUUCCCUCUCUGUUUCUGCCUAUUUUCUUUCUUUCUCUUGUUGUGUGUGUGAAGUCACUAACAGUGACUUUCUUUUGUCUUUUAUACAUGGUACACACACAUGCACACGCAUGGUCACUUACAUAAGACAGCUUCUGCCAGCACCUCGCACACGCACACACGGGUACAACACACAUACACAGCUGCACACAUGCACUCAUGCAUGGUGACAUGUGUCACCAUGUGUUCUCCAUGUGUCGUGACCGCGUGUCCACAACGUGUCGUAUUAUCGUGUUUCUUUUUACUUAUACGUUUUUUACUGUAAAAAUAUUAAUUGGGUUUAAAAUAAAAUUUAUUCGGUUUACUAAUUUAAUAUUUAUUUUCGCGGGUCGGGACAUUACAAAAUAAUAAUAAAUUAUUUUUGAUAAAAAGUAAAAAUGGAGUAACUUAAAAAUAAUUUAUUUAUUUAAUAAAUGUAUAGAGAAAAAAAAUAUUAAAGUUCUAAAUUUAAGGAAAAAUUUAUCAGAAAGAAUUUUGAUGAUACUUCAAAAGUGAGAUACAUUUGUUAAAAGUAAGAUAUGUCUACAUUUGUUAGAACCUCAGAAUAGGUCAAUAAAUUUUACCAAAAAAAUUAUUAGAAUCUUUUAAAAAAUAUUAAAAAAUUAUAAAAACUCGCAACUCAUAAUUUAUACUAUGUUUUCAUACUCUCAAAUCUUAAUCAUAACACAAAUUUCAUCCUUUUAGUAUUUCUUUUUAGAUUUGUGUAACAUAAGUUUUUGGAAAAAUUACAAGGACCUCUCCUGAGGUUUACUUAUUAUGAGUUUGAAGCUUUCUAUUAGGUGAUUUUUGGUAUAUCAAAUUCAAUAAAGCUUUUUUUUAGGUAAUUUGGGAAAAACCAAACUCAAAUUAACGUUUUUUUGGAAAAUUUAAGAAAAAUUAAACCCAACUUGAAGUUCUUUUAGGUAUAAUUUUGAAAAAAUUAAACCCAAAUUGAAUAAAAUCAAACCCGAUUUGAUUAAACCCAAAUUGAAUAAAAUCAAACCCGUUGCUCCUCAUCCAAGUUUCCAUUGCAGUUAUUGUCCCGAGCUCGCUAAACGGAAGCACCUCGAAGGUAACAAUGGGCCUAACUCAGACAACAUUUGUCUAUGGUAGUGAUUGUUCCGAGCUUCAGCAUAAAGGGUUUUCGAGCUCGCUCUGAAAUAGCAGCUAGCGGAAACCUCCACAUUAGCAAGGUCAGUGUUGAGUAGUAUCUAUACUGAGCUCUGACGUAGAUAUUCGCCGAGCUUACUUCAUAGCGAUAGCCGGCAGAGGAUCCUGCCCUAACAAGACGGAAUUACGUCAUUAUAUAAUUUGUCCCCUUACUAAUAAUUUUGGUAAAGCAAAUAUAAUAAUUAUUUAUUUAGGGUAAUGGGGGGAACCAAACUAAAAUUGAAGCUUUCUUUGGGGAGAUUUAAGGAAAAUCAAACCCAAUUUAAAGUUAUAUUUUGUGUAAUUUUUAAAAAAUUAAACUCAAAUUGAAUAAAAAAAAAAUUAAUUUUUUUUUGUGAGAGAGUUGCUCUGUUUUUCUUUCUUUGUGUGGGUGGUUAGGGGGGAACUUUGUUUUUGGUGCUAAAUACUUUAAUGGUUCCCAAAAUACGUCUCAUAUGCCACUUUGGUCCUCGAUAUACAUAAUAUAAUAAUAUUAUUCAAUAUAUCUAAUUCGUGUUCAAAAGGUCCUAUUCUAACGCCUUUUAAACUCAAUAAUGCAAGUGAGAACAAUUUUGAUAAAACAAUUAUGAGGUACCAAAGUAACACAAAAUACAUAUUUUGACAAUCAUUUAUGUAUUUAACUCCGGUUAUACAAUAUAUCAAUUUUAUCACUAAUAUAUAAAAUAGUAUUUAAAUGGUCCAUAGUUGCAUUUUUUUUAUUAAAAUUCUAAAACUGUAGACAAAUAAAUUUAACAAUAAAAGAACUCUUUCCUUGCCAAAAAUAAAUUCAUAUUUUUGGGAACCAUAUGAUACUAAUAAGAAAAUAAAGAAGGGUUCAAUCUUAUAUAAAAGGUUUCUAUAAACAUACAACCUUAAGGAUAAAAUAUUCUAUAAACAUUAAGUUAUCAUUCAAUUAAAUAUACAAUUCCUGAAAACUCUUAUCACCUACAAACCGAUUCUUUUUUCAUUCAAUUAAUCCUGUUAGCAUUUUGACUUUGUUCA
rnacentral:lncRNA from 1 species